AUCAAACUUGAGAGUUUGAUCCUGGCUCAGAACGAACGCUGGCGGCAUGCCUAACACAUGCAAGUCGAACGGAGGCCCGAAGCUUGCUUCGGUUACCUUAGUGGCGAACGGGUGAGUAACACGUGGGAAUCUACCUAAAAAUGGGGAAUAACUAUUGGAAACGAUAGCUAAUACCGCAUAAUCCCUCCGGGGUAAAGGCUUCGGCUGUUUUUAGAUGAGCCCGCGCUAGAUUAGGUUGUUGGUGGGGUAAAAGCCUACCAAGCCUGCUAUCUAUAGCUGGUCUGAGAGGAUGAUCAGCCACACUGGGACUGAGACACGGCCCAGACUCCUACGGGAGGCAGCAGUGGGGAAUAUUGGACAAUGGGGG
rnacentral:rRNA from 2 species